rfam:Triticum aestivum genome assembly, contig: Triticum_aestivum_CS42_TGACv1_scaffold_030884_1BL
CUAGUACUCCCUCCGUCCCAAAAUUCUUGUCUUAAAUUUUUCUAAAUGCGAAUGUAUCAAGUCACGUUUUAGUAUUAGAUACAUCCGUAUCUAGACGAAUCUAAGACAAGAAUUUUGGGACGGAGGGAGUAAUAU